UACGGGGGGAGCAAGCGUUGUUCGGAUUUACUGGGCGUAAAGGGCGCGUAGGCGGCGCGACAAGUCACUUGUGAAAUCUCUGGGCUCAACCCAGAACGGUCAAGUGAUACUGUCGUGCUAGAGUGCGGAAGGGGCAACUGGAAUUCUUGGUGUAGCGGUGAAAUGCGUAGAUAUCAGGAGGAACACCGGUGGCGAAGGCGGUGGUCUGGGCCGGCACUGACGCUGAGGAGCGAAAGCGUGGGUAGCAAACAGG
rnacentral:rRNA from 1 species